AAUAUUGGUCAAUUUAGUCAACUCUGCACCAGCCAUUCCGCUUUCAGGAAGCCGGUCUUUUGGAUUGUAAACUGCUUUUGUACAGGAAGAAAAAGAGCUACGAGUAGCUUAUUGACGGUACCGUAAGAAUAAGGAUCGGCUAACUCCGUGCCAUCAGCCGCGGUAAUUCGGAGGCUCCAAGCGUUAUCCGGAAUCAUUGGGUUUAAAGGGUCCGUAGGCGGCCUUAUAAGUCAGCGGUGAAAGUUUUUGGCUUAACCAAAAAAUUGCCGUUGAUACUGUAGGGCUUGGAUUUUUGUGAAGUAACUAGAAUAUGUAGUGUAGCGGUGAAAUGCUUAGAUAUUACAUGGAAUACCAAUUGCGAAGGCAGGUUACUAACAAACGAUUGACGCUGAUGGACGAAAGCGUGGGUAGCGAAC
rnacentral:rRNA from 1 species